rnacentral:rRNA from 1 species
GUCCACGCCCUAAACGAUGAUUACUCGAUGUGUGCGAUACACUGUACGCGUCUGAGCGAAAGCAUUAAGUAAUCCACCUGGGGAGUACGGCCGCAAGGCUGAAACUCAAAGGAAUUGACGGGGGCCCCGCACAAGCGGAGGAGCAUGUGGUUUAAUUCGAUGAUACGCGAGGAACCUUACCAGGGCUUGAAAGUUAGGGAAUGAUCUGGAAACAGGUCAGUCAGCAAUGACCCGAAACUAGGUGCUGCAUGGCUGUCGU